rnacentral:rRNA from 1 species
GACGAACGCUGGCGGCGUGCCUAAUACAUGCAAGUUGAGCGCUGAAGGUUGGUACUUGUACCAACUGGAUGAGCAGCGAACGGGUGAGUAACGCGUGGGGAAUCUGCCUUUGAGCGGGGGACAACAUUUGGAAACGAAUGCUAAUACCGCAUAAAAACUUUAAACACAAGUUUUAAGUUUGAAAGAUGCAAUUGCAUCACUCAAAGAUGAUCCCGCGUUGUAUUAGCUAGUUGGUGAGGUAAAGGCUCACCAAGGCGAUGAUACAUAGCCGACCUGAGAGGGUGAUCGGCCACAUUGGGACUGAGGCACGGCCCAAACUCCUACGGGGGGCAGCAGUAGGGAAUCUUCGGCAAUAGACGAAAGUCUGACCGAGCAACGCCGCGUGAGUGAAGAAGGUUUUCGGAUCGUAAAACUCUGUUGGUAGAGAAGAACGUUGGUGAGAGUGGAAAGCUCAUCAAGUGACGGUAACUACCCAGAAAGGGACGGCUAACUACGUG